rnacentral:rRNA from 1 species
UACGUAGGGUGCAAGCGUUGUCCGGAAUUAUUGGGCGUAAAGAGCUCGUAGGCGGUUUGUCGCGUCUGCUGUGAAAACCCGAGGCUCAACCUCGGGCCUGCAGUGGGUACGGGCAGACUAGAGUGCGGUAGGGGAGAUUGGAAUUCCUGGUGUAGCGGUGGAAUGCGCAGAUAUCAGGAGGAACACCGAUGGCGAAGGCAGAUCUCUGGGCCGUAACUGACACUGAGGAGCGAAAGCAUGGGGAGCGAACAGG